AUGAUCCAGAGCCAAAGCGUUCGUGUCUGUUUUGACUCAGGUGGAGAGGAUGAUGAAACAGUGACCAGCACUAUUCAGAUUGAACAGUCGAAACACAAAACCUGGGGUUCAGCAGGUGCAGCUCUUUCACCUCUAUCUCCGUCAUGUUCACUGUCACAAAUAAGAAGCAGUUCCGGACAGGCUCGGAUUCCUGAAUUGCUGCAAUAUGAUGGUCUUAGCCUGAUUUCUUUUGUGGUGAGGACUCACUUCUCUCUUCUCUAGGGUUUCCAAUCAUCAGUUAUCAUUUUCCUUCUAUCUGUUACUAUUAUUAUUUACUUAUUUGAGAGGCAGAGUUUUAGACAGAGAGAAGAGUGGGGGGCUCUUCCAUAAUCUGGUCCAUUACGCAAAUGGCCACAAUGGCCAGAGCUGAGCCAAUCCCAAGCCAGGAGCCAGGAUCUCUUCUGGGUUUCCCAUGUGAGUGCAGGGGCCCAUGCACCUGAGCCAUCUUCCACUGCUUUUACAGGCCAUUAUCAUGGAGCUGGUUUAGAAGUGGAGCAACCAGGAGACCAACCAGUGCCCAUCUGAGUACCACAGGAGGAGGAUUAGCUUCCUAUACCAUAGUGCCUGUCCCAUCUCCUUGUCUCUUAAUCCAGUCUAUCUGCUAAAUGGGAAACAGAAUAUUUCCAAUUUAAUGUCAUCUCAACAGUCAUUAGAAAAAUUGUCAUUUAGCAUUAUUUUUUAUUGUUACAUGCAUUUUAAAUCUACAGCUAGGGGGCCAGCAUUGUAGCAUAGUGGGUAAAGAAACUGCCUGUGACACCAUCAUCCCUUAUGGGUGCUGGUUCAAGACCUAGCUGCCCUAAUUGCAAUUCAUCUCCCUGCUAAUAUGCCCAGAAAUACAGUGGAGGAUGGUCCACUUGCUUGGGCCCCUGUACCCAUGUGAGGGAUCUGAAAGAAACUCCUGACUCCUGGUUCCAGCCAGAGCAUUGUGGCCAUUUGAGGCAUGAAACAGCAGAAAGAAGAUCUCUUGCUCUUUCUCUCUCUCUCUUUCUCUCUCUUUUUUUCUCUGUGUAACUCUUUCAAAUAAAUAAUUAUUUUUACAAUACA
rnacentral:lncRNA from 1 species